rnacentral:rRNA from 1 species
AUGCAAGUCGAACGAAACUCUUACACCGAAUGCUUGCAUUCACCGUAAGAAGUUGAGUGGCGGACGGGUGAGUAACACGUGGGUAACCUGCCUAAAAGAGGGGGAUAACACUUGGAAACAGGUGCUAAUACCGUAUAUCUCUAAGGAUCGCAUGAUUCUUAGAUGAAAGAUGGUUCUGCUAUCGCUUUUAGAUGGACCCGCGGCGUAUUAACUAGUUGGUGGGGUAACGGCCUACCAAGGUGAUGAUACGUAGCCGAACUGAGAGGUUGAUCGGCCACAUUGGGACUGAGACACGGCCCAAACUCCUACGGGAGGCAGCAGUAGGGAAUCUUCCACAAUGGACGCAAGUCUGAUGGAGCAACGCCGCGUGAGUGAAGAAGGUCUUCGGAUCGUAAAACUCUGUUGUUAGAGAAGAACACGAGUGAGAGUAACUGUUCAUUCGAUGACGGUAUCUAACCAGCAAGUCACGGCUAACUACGUGCCAGCAGCCGCGGUAAUACGUAGGUGGCAAGCGUUGUCCGGAUUUAUUGGGCGUAAAGGGAACGCAGGCGGUCUUUUAAGUCUGAUGUGAAAGCCUUCGGCUUAACCGGAGUAGUGCAUUGGAAACUGGAAGAC